rnacentral:rRNA from 1 species
AACGAACGUUAGCGGCGCGCCUAAGACAUGCAAGUCGAGCGAGAAAGGGCUUCGGCCCCGGUAAAGCGGCGCACGGGUGAGUAACACGUAGGUAAUCAACCCCCGAGUGGUGGACAACUCUCCGAAAGGAGAGCUAAUACAGCAUGACGGGGCGGCUUUCCGAAGCCGUUCACAAAGCGGGCCUCUUCAUGAAAGCUCGCGCUUGGGGAUGAGCCUGCGGCCCAUCAGCUAGUUGGUCGGGGUAACGGCCCACCAAGGCGAAGACGGGUAGCUGGUCUGAGAGGAUGAACAGCCACACUGGAACUGAGACACGGUCCAGACUCCUACGGGAGGCAGCAGUCGGGAAUCUUCCGCAAUGGGCGCAAGCCUGACGGAGCGACGCCGCGUGAGCGAUGAAGGCCUUCGGGUUGUAAAGCUCUGUGGGGAGGGAAGAAUAAGGUCAGGUCAAUACCCUGAUUGAUGACGGUACCUCCUUAGCAAGCACCGGCUAACUCUGUGCCAGCCGCCGCGGUAAAAC